rnacentral:lncRNA from 1 species
GCAGCCUACCACAUUUGUUAUUAUUUUCAAUGUCUAACAAACCAUGGAUCCCUGUCAAUUCUUCAAUUUCAAAUAUUUUCCCUUAAUCACCCCUUACUUUCCAUUUCACUGCCAACACCUCGAUCUCUGUCUUCCUCACCAUAAGGCAGAUUCGUAACAGCUUCCAUAACUCGCCAUGAGCCCCGCAGAGCCCUGGUUCCCCGCUGCUCGUUAUUAUUCCUGAAACGCCCAGUACCACUUCCUGUUCUUACUCAUUUAUUUAUUUGGAACACUUCAGGAAUUCGCGUGCCGUCCUGGCACAGGGGCCCUGCUGAUCUUCCCUGUACCGUUCCAAUGUUAGUCCAUGCGCUGCCGAAGCGAGCACGCUUCCUGUUCUUGUUCACGAGCCUGCAACGCCCACCGUUGCCUGCUUCCAACUGUGCCUCACGUUCCUUCCAACGGCGCCUUCCAUCCCAGCUGGGCGGGGCUUCGCCGUGUUACCUUCUCAACAUGGCGAGCUUGCUGGACGUCACGUCGCCUUCGCCUUUUCCGCUGCGGACUCUGCUCACCGACCUCCUCAGUAGAGCCGGCCCUGCUCACUACCGCGCCCACGUGUCCUGUUGUGCUUCAUUCCCACAGGCCGCAUAAGGUUCCAAAAUCAUCAGUUGAAGAUGAUCCUGCUUCAUCUACAUCCCACCAGUUCCUGGCCCCCAUAGUAAGCAAGCCGUGGACAUUAUGUAGUUUUAUCCUGAAAAUUUUUAGGAUAUCUCGAGAAGCUAAGAACUCUAAAUAAAACAACCACCAAAUGACUAUCUCAUAUAAAAAUUUAGCAAUUUCUUAACUUAUAAAAUAUCAUGUGCA